AAGCGCCAGAACUCUUCGGAGUUGACGAGGUUGGAGGUUAUCGAGUUUUCGGCGGAUGCCUCCUAGUCGCCUGUCACGACUACAAGCAAACCCUCAAAACGUCCGGGCGACCGGACGGCCAAAGGGGU
rnacentral:ncRNA from 1 species